GACGAACGCUGGCGGCGUGCCUAACACAUGCAAGUCGAACGGCCCGGCACUCAACCGACCCUCAGUCUAGCUGUAGGUGAAGUUGAGUGCCGGAUAGUGGCGGACGGGUGAGUAACGCGUGGGCAACCAACCCUGUACAGUGGGAUAACACCGGGAAACCGGUGCUAAUACCGCAUGAUACUUAAACAGUGCAUACUGAUUAGGUUAAAGGAUUUAGCCGGUACAGGACGGGCCCGCGUCCCAUUAGCUAGUUGGUGAGGUAACGGCUCACCAAGGCGACGAUGGGUAGCCGACCUGAGAGGGUGACCGGCCACACUGGGACUGAGACACGGCCCAGACUCCUACGGGAGGCAGCAGUGGGGAAUAUUGCGCAAUGGAGGAAACUCUGACGCAGCGACGCCGCGUGAGCGAAGAAGGCCUCGGUCGUAAGCUCUGUUCUUGGGGUACGGAAGUAAGGUAGGACGGUACCCGAACGGAAGGAAAGGACCCCGGCCGUAACCUACCGUGCCGAGCAGCCGCGACUAAAUACACG
rnacentral:rRNA from 1 species